rfam:Nicotiana attenuata strain TT chromosome 8, whole genome shotgun sequence.
UGGACAGAUUAUUAUAUUCGACUGUAUUCACGGCGUGAAACAGGGGAUUACACUAUUUUUAAACGGAAAGUGAAUCAAUUAACAUAAUAGACUCCU